UGGGGUGACUGCGUACCUUUUGUAUAAUGGGUCAGCGACUUAUAUUCUGUAGCAAGGUUAACCGAAUAGGGGAGCCGGAGGGAAACCGAGUCUUAACCGGGCGUUAAGUUGCAGGGUAUAGACCCGAAACCCGGUGAUCUAGCCAUGGGCAGGUUGAAGGUUGGGUAACACUAACUGGAGGACCGAACCGACUAAUGUUGAAAAAUUAGCGGAUGACCUGUGGCUGGGGGUGAAAGGCCAAUCAAACCGGGAGAUAGCUGGUUCUCCCCGAAAGCUAUUUAGGUAGCGCCUCGUGAAUUCAUCUCCGGGGGUAGAGCACUGUUUCGGCCAGGGGGCCAUCCCGGCUUACCAACCCGAUGCAAACUGCGAAUACCGGAGAAUGUUAUCACGGGAGACACACGGCGGGUGCUAACGUCCGUCGUGAAGAGGGAAACAACCCAGACCGCCAGCUAAGGUCCCAAAGUCAUGGUUAAGUGGGAAACGAUGUGGGAAGGCCCAGACAGCCAGGAUGUUGGCUUAGAAGCAGCCAUCAUUUAAAGAAAGCGUAAUAGCUCACUGGUCGAGUCGGCCUGCGCGGAAGAUGUAACGGGGCUAAACCAUGCACCGAAGCUGCGGCAGCGACACUAAGUGUUGUUGGGUAGGGGAGCGUUCUGUAAGCCUGCGAAGGUGUGUCGUGAGGCAUGCUGGAGGUAUCAGAAGUGCGAAUGCUGACAUAAGUAACGAUAAUGCGGGUGAAAAACCCGCACGCCGGAAGACCAAGGGUUCCUGUCCAACGUUAAUCGGGGCAGGGUGAGUCGACCCCUAAGGCGAGGCCGAAAGGCGUAGUCGAUGGGAAACGGGUUAAUAUUCCCGUACCUGGUGUUACUGCGAAGGGGGGACGGAGAAGGCUAUGUUGGCCGGGCGACGGUUGUCCCGGUUUAAGCGUGCAGGCUGGUUUUCCAGGCAAAUCCGGAAAAUCAAGGCUGAGGCGUGAUGACGAGGCACUACGGUGCUGAAGCAACAAAUGCCCUGCUUCCAGGAAAAGCCUCUAAGCCUCAGGUAACAUCAGAUCGUACCCGAAACCGACACAGGUGGUCAGGUAGAGAAUACCAAGGCGCUUGAGAGAACCCGGGUGAAGGAACUAGGCAAAAUGGUGCCGUAACUUCGGGAGAAGGCACGCUGACACGUAGGUGAAGCGGUUUACCCGUGGAGCUGAAGUCAGUCGAAGAUACCAGCUGGCUGCAACUGUUUAUUAAAAACACAGCACUGUGCAAACACGAAAGUGGACGUAUACGGUGUGACGCCUGCCCGGUGCCGGAAGGUUAAUUGAUGGGGUCAGCGCAAGCGAAGCUCCUGAUCGAAGCCCCGGUAAACGGCGGCCGUAACUAUAACGGUCCUAAGGUAGCGAAAUUCCUUGUCGGGUAAGUUCCGACCUGCACGAAUGGCGUAAUGAUGGCCAGGCUGUCUCCACCCGGGACUCAGUGAAAUUGAACUCGCUGUGAAGAUGCAGUGUACCCGCGGCAAGACGGAAAGACCCCGUGAACCUUUACUAUAGCUUGACACUGAACA
rnacentral:rRNA from 1 species